CUCCUUCAUGGACUUGUCCCCUGUCCCUCCUCUGUUUUGCAGCAACAAAGACCAUGAAGAGAAAAGGGCCAUCAAGAGCAGAACCUUCAUAAGUGCAAGAGUUCUGAGUGUAGAAGUUUCCCAUUGGGAACCUGGGGAUUUUCCACCACCUUACAAGCAAGCUGACUUGGAACUUGGUGAAUUGCCAGAUGCUUGCCAUGGCUGAGCCAUGGGCAGCAUCCAUGUGCAGCUGUGACAAAUCUGGGAUUCUCCUGGAAAGUUUGUGCAUGAGUGAAAAUGAACGCUGCCUGCCUGAAGUGGUUCAUCAAGCCUUCUUAAGUUGUAUUUAGAGGAUAUAACCUGAUGUCAGCCAAAGUGGACACUCCCUGACCACGGUGGAGCCUUGCCAGACCCUGGUGAGAAGAUAACUGGAUUUUUGGUCACAUAUUCAGAGCCUGGUCCCCAGCAGGCACAGAAAGCUCCUGCCCUGCCCAGCCCCACAGGGAGCCCAGCUCAGCUGAGCAGCAGAAAGAGGAGAUCAGCACCUCCCCCUCUGCUGAUCCCUUGAGGAAGUUUUGGACUGUGCCAAGGUCACUCCUCAGCCUUGUCUUCUCCCAGCUGAACAAACCAAGUGACCUCAGCCACUCCUCUGAGUCUGGCACUCAAGGCCUUUCACCACUCCUGGUCACCCUCCUCUGGACGUGCUCUAAUAUUUCUCCUCUUUUGUACUACAAAUGAAUGGAAAUGGGGCUGGGUUUAUGCCCAGAGAUACGUGUGCCAGACAUGUUCUGAAGGCAUCCAGGAGAAAGAAGCUCUUGUGUUUCUGUAUCUCACCACAGCCAAGGGUUACUGAGGGCCUGAAUCAAUCUGUGCCUGCUGUUGAUGUGAAGAAGAAAGCUGAAAGGAAAGUUUGGGACAAUUCUGAUCUGUACCAGGUGUCAAGAAGAAAUCCAGACGUGCCGCCAACGCUGAGACACGGCUAGGACAUAUAAUGAAUGAAGCAGCUGACGGCUGCGCAAGCCAAGCCCUGGUCCGCGCUUCCCCCGAGGGCCGGCACCGGAGCUGCGGCGA